rnacentral:lncRNA from 1 species
AGGAAAAAAGUUCUUAUAAGGUUACGGCUUUGUCAUACUUUAAAGCCAGGCAUGACUUAAAAAUCUACCAAAAAAGAUUGUUUUGAUAUUCCGAAGCCUUCUAAAUGCUCGUCUCGAACUUGAGAUGCAUGGAGAAAAGAAAUAAAAGAAGGGGGUGGUUUCUACGAGGUUGCAACCUUAAACAAUCCAAUUAAGGUGCAUCUUUAAAUUUUA